rnacentral:tRNA from 1 species
GACCGCGUAGCUCAGUUGGCAGAGCAUUGGGCUGGUAUUCCAAAGGUUGUAGGUUCGAUUCCCACCGUGGUCA